AUUGAACGCUGGCGGCAGGCUUAACACAUGCAAGUCGAGCGAGCGGCGGACGGGUGAGUAAUGUCUGGGAAACUGCCUGCUGGAGGGGGAUAACUACUGGAAACGGUAGCUAAUACCGCAUACCAUAAGAUGUUUCCAGAUGGGAUUAGCUAGUAGGUGGGGUAAUGACUCACAUCGGAGGCGAUCCCUAGCUGGUCUGAGAGGGAGACCAGCCACACUGGAACGGGGACACGGUCCAGACUCCUACGGGAGGCAGCAGUGGGGAAUAUUGCACAAGGGGCGCAAGCCUGAUGCAGCCAUGCCGCGUGUGUGAAGAAGGCCUUCGGGUUGUAAAGCACUUUCAGCGAGGAGGCGUUACUCGCAGAAUAAGCACCGGCUAACUCCGUGCCAGCAGCCGCGGUAAUUC
rnacentral:rRNA from 1 species